GGAACCUUCAAACGACGGGAUUCCGUCGUAUUCUGAGAAUAAUAAGGAUGGUACGACUAAGCUACGAGAUGAUACUCAAGAUGACAAAACUUCCGAGCAGCAUGCAACAGUAGCUGUAUUUAAUGAAGAAAAAAAAACGUUGGCGAAACAAGGGAGCAGUUCAACGCACAGAGGCGUGAAUCUUAUCGGAAGAAAAAAGAGGAGGAUAUGGUCAGGUUACAAGAGUAUAAUCAGCCAUGCCUUUCAAAGACCGGUAAGUAUUUAAGCGUGAUUUUGCUGACUACUCUUGGUUUUUUCUGAAUACCUAUAGUAUGCAAAUUAAUCGUUAUAGUAACCUGACUUCAUAGAUGUUCCCCGUGUUGGUUUCAUAGAUGUUGUAUCAACAUCGAUACUUUUUUUGUUCUCUAACUCUCAUACCUAUUGUAAAAAUGGUAGACCAUAGAGAUCUUAUCAACGCGUGGAGGCGGGCAUCUUAUCGCACUAAGAAGUCAGAUGAUUUUAUAAACCAUCUAGACGAUGGGCCGAUUGUUCACCGUCGUACUCUAUGUGAUAUCACAAAUGUUCAACAACCUUCAUAUGUGAUCCCUGGUACUUAUUUGGUAGAUUUACAAUGUCGUUAAUUACAUGUGUGUAUUUGACAAUCAUACUAUUUGUGAUUAUGUUUAACUUCUCUUUGCUUUCUGAACGCCCGUGGUGGAUAACUAUAGGAACUAAUGUUGGGGCAGAUCAUAUCUUGGGGCAGCUAAUCAAACCCACGCGAGAUGAUAAGCACAGGAAAGUUGAUCUUCGUCCCCUUUGUAAUUCAAGUACGAUUAUUUUAUGUUACAUCCUAGCAUUCAUGGUUCAGCCAUUUUAAUAAAUACUAACCAAGCAUGUUAUAUCAGAUGACCCAGCUAGCUCGGUUGAUACAUCAAUCUCGCAUAAUGAAUCAACAUUUCCUCCUAAAGCUACGGGAGCGUCUGAUGUAAUUGCAGAUAAAAAUAUAAAAGAAAAUACGCAAGUAACAGAAGAAGAACGCAAACGAGACCGUAAAAAAGCUUUGAGGAGAGCUGCAUAUCGGCAGAGAAAAGAUCGGAAUCUCCAAGAUGAACAUAAUCAGGCCCUUAUUUUAUCUGGUAACCUCUAAAGGUUUUGACCAUUAUAUUCAGUACCCGAUUUCAUGUCUUAAUGAUUAAGUUUUCCACAUGUUUUCAUCAAUUUGUUUAACCAGCCAACCCAACUAGCUCCAACUAUACAUCAUUCUCGGUUGAUGCGACGACAUUUCAUGCUACAACUACUGUCACAUCUGGUCUCAUUAAUGACAUGGAGGUACAAGGUAAUCGAUUUGUGCGUACUCCAUCAUCAAUUGCUGUCAUUGUUAUGUUUUAUUGUCUAAUGUCCUGAUCGACAUCAGAUGUGGUCUUGAAUAACACCCAAGAAACAAAGCAAAAAACCGACGAAGAACUCAAGAGAGAUCGUAGAAAUGCCCUACGAAGAGCUGCUUAUAGGAGGAAAAAGGAUAAGCUUAUCCAUGAUGAAAACAUACGUCCACUUUCGUUAUCAGGUAAAACAUGAUCUAUAUUUUCACCAUGACUUACAUAUCUUGUUUUGCUGCUCAUAGCUAAAUAUUCUUAUAGCCACCAUCAUGCUCGAUGCGUACAGUUUAAUGCUGCAUAUUAAUGCACCAUCAUGGUUUUUUUUCCUAUAGACGUCUUAAAUAAUAUUGGUUCUAACUAUGUUUUAAAAUCAUUACGAAACCAGACAACCCUAAUAGCUCCAGCUAUAUAGAAUUCGAGGGUGACGCAGCAACAUUUCCCCAUUCAACAUUAGACGCGUCUGUUGUCACUCAUGACAAUGAUCUAGCUAGGAGGCAACGUGAUAAUGAGCGGAAAAGAAAUUUAACAAACGCGCAAAGGGAGCAAAUAAACGCACAGAGGCGUGCAGAUUAUCAGCGGAAUAAGGACAAGGUAUCUGUUGAUGUCAGAGAAACAGUGAAUGAAAAAGUACGAGGAAAGCGAAUGCAACGUCGCAAAAGCAUGUCAGUGAUUGAGAAGGGGGAGUCAAGUGCUCAGAGGAAGGCCAAUUAUGCCAGAAGAAAAAACACCCCAUGCAACGAAUCCAUCGCGCUCCCACGUCCAGACCUAGCAAACUCAACCUCUGAAUGUCCCACUUUAAUCUGCCGCGCAUCAUCCGUCUCUCGGGUCGCCGAAGAUGAUUCAUCUGAUGGCGACCCUCCGACGAACAAGACGAAUUACAUUGUUGGUAUCGAAGGUAUGAAAUUGCUAAUGUCACUUUCUUCUGCUCAUUAUCAACAACCAUCUUCUAACAUGAUGUUAUCUACUGUGACAUUCGCAACGACGAAUGUCCAGAGGACAUCGAAUUUUUACAAAGCGGCGUCGUGGGCGAUGAGCCGACAGCAGCCGAAUUGAUGGAUGAGGAGUACUACAUGUUUCGCAACGAAGGUAUGGUCAGAUAUGAAGUAGGACGGCGUGCAUCUAUAUUGUAGUUAAUUAUUUUUUUGUAAUUUUUGUUUUGAACGUUAUGUUUCAACAAAUGCUUGUAGGGUCCGAUCAUGACAACAUGGAUGAUGACGAGGAAGGGAGCAUGUCGUCUGCUAUACCUAGCGAGGUUGAUCCAUUAGAAUUUGUUUACACAAACAUCCCCGACACCACUCACAUCCUGAAGCUCGACGCAAACUGCAAACACUGCAAGGCCAAAAAGUUUGUCUCUGAGACCGACGGGUUCUGCUGUCGCAAUGGCCAGAUCGAACUUAAACAACCGGAGCCAAUCCCAGAGCUGAUGAGGCUAUGGUCAAGCAUGGAUGCAGAUUCUAGACAUUUUCAGGAGAACAUAAGGUUCUUCAACGGGCAUUUCGCCUUCACAACCCUUGGCGUCAGCCUUGAUGAGAACUACACAAACAUGAAGUCUGGGGUGUACACAUUCCGUGCGCACGGCUCCAUCUACCACAAUGUGCAUUCGUUCGGGCCUAGCUCCCGUCCAGAACAUCUGCAGUUGUACUUCUAUGAUGACGACCCAACCAUAACUCAUCUAAGGUGGCCACCAAGCAAUUAGACCAGGAUGUCGUGAAGAAGUUAGUAGACAUGCUCAAAGAAAACCCGUACUCCCAGCAAUUUAGGAGUUUGGGUGCACACAAGGACAACCUCGAUGAUUAUAGGAUAGACCUAAACACCGAUAAGAGGCUUGACCAAAGAAGAUAUAAUAGACCGUUGUCAUCUGAGGUCGCUGCAAUUUGGGUUGAGGGCAACGACCUAGCAAAAAGGUUUGACCGGAGGAUAACACUUUGUGGUAACAACAACGAAAGGCAUAGUAUACGUGUGACCUCCGGACCAUAUGACCCGUUGUCUUAUCCCCUAUUCUAUCCAAGGGGGGAGCUAGGUUGGCAUCCAAAGCUACUUAAACGUAAUGUAACGGAGGAGGUUGUACUACAUUCUCAACUGGUCCAUGAUGAUGAUGAGGAUGCAGGUAUGCCGUCUGUGUCCCAUUUUGCUACAAAUAAUAUCUUAUUUCUCGAAUAUAUCCUCAUUUUGAUGGUACUCAAUCAUGUGCAGAGGGCAACAGCAGGUUGUGCGUCUCUGUCAGAGACUACUACUGUUACAUGCUGCAGACACGGCCUGGAAUCUUCAAUCCCAUACUCUGUGGAGCACGCCUCUUGCAGCAAUGGGCGGUCGACAUGUACGUCAAGAUUGAAAGUUGUCGGUUGAGGUGGUACAGGAAAAACCAGACGCAGAUUCGUGCCGACUUGUAUAAAGGAGUUGUUGGUGCAAUCACAUCGGGGGAGACGCGAGCAAGCGCUGUUGGGGUAAGAAUAGUGCUCCCUGGAACAUACCCUGGUGGCGACCGCGACAUCAAGAAGAGGCAUAUGGAUGCCAUGGCAAUUGUCCAUACAUACGGGAAGCCUGACAUCUUCUUGACCAUGACUUGCAAUCCUAAAUGGGAAGAGAUAACGAAUGAGUUGUUGCCUGGUCAGACGGCGCAAGACCGACCUGAUAUUGUGGCUCGCGUGUUCUACGGCAAGCUAGAGGCUAUGAAGGACAUGUUGUUCAAGAAGCA